UUUUUCCUACGGGGGGCAGCAGUGGGGAAGAUUGCACAAAGGGGGAAACCCUGAUGCAGCGACGCCGCGUGAGUGAAGAAGUAUUUCGGUAUGUAAAGCUCUAUCAGCAGGGAAGAUAAUGACGGUACCUGACUAAGAAGCCCCGGCUAACUACGUGCCAGCAGCCGCGGUGAUACGUAGGGGGCAAGCGUUAUCCGGAUUUACUGGGUGUAAAGGGUGCGUAGGUGGCAGGGCAAGUCAGAUGUGAAAGCCCGGGGCCCAACCCCGGUACUGCAUUUGAAACUGUCCGGCUGGAGUGCAGGAGG
rnacentral:rRNA from 1 species